AACGAACGCUGGCGGCAUGCCUAACACAUGCAAGUCGAACGAGACCUUCGGGUCUAGUGGCGCAUGGGUGCGUAACGCGUGGGAACCUGCCCUUAGGUUCGGAAUAACUCCCCGAAAGGGGUGCUAAUAUCGGAUAAUGUCCUCGGACCAAAGAUUUAUCGACUUUGGAUGGGCCCGAGUUGGAUUAGCCGGUGGGUAGGGUAAAAGCCUAUCAAGGCGACGAUCCAUAGCUGGGCUGAGAGAAUGGUCAGCCACACUGGGACUGGGACACGGCCGGGAAUCCUACGGGAGGCGGCAGAGGCGGAUAUAGGACAAUGGGGGGAAGCAUGAUGGAGCAAGGCCGCGUGAGUGAUGAAGGCCGUAGGGUAGUGAAGCACUUUUACCCGGGAUGAUAAUGACGGUACCGGGAGAAUAAGCUCCGGCUAACUCCGUG
rnacentral:rRNA from 1 species